GCCAAUUAAAUCAACCAAUCAUACAGCUCUAAUGAUCCACAUCAUCAUCAACACCACGCCAGCAGUCAUCUUUUUCGUACAGAUUUUGUAUAUCGAGCACGACUUCUCCACUCCUAUUUACGACUUCUCUCCUCCUCUUUCAAUUAAUCAUCCUUUAAACACAGUAACAUCUCCAUGAUAACUCACGCUUCAGCUUCUCAUAUAUUGCUAUAUACUGUAUUCUUUUAUUCUUGGUUUCACCUCAAUAUAUUCCUUGCUCACCACUUCCAUGGUGACACUAUUUAUGCAUCAAAACCCACUUCCUGAUUUCGAAACUCAAAUUUGGUCGUCUCUUCAGUUCACUUUGCCUUCUCCGAACCUUCAAUUUUUUUUUUCAAUUGCAGACAAAAAAACUAAUCCCCUUUAUGGGGUUUUGGUGUUAUUUGGUGUUUUAUCUAUCCUUUCUGGCAAGGAUUGCUAACCGUCAUAAGAUUAUGAACUGAAAUAAUUGAAGCAGAAGCAAGCUAAUCGCAUGAGAUUUAUUGGUAAGCGUCAAUGCCUAUGGAAAGAUCCAGCCAUAGAGACCUCUGAAGAUUUUGAUUUGAGCCGUUUACAUCUUAGCUCCAACAGAUACGAUGGUGAACCAUUGCUAUGAAGCCGGGAAUGGAAAAUUGAGAUCUUGAAAAGUUUCGGCGGACAACCUAAUUGGCAGAUGCGUGAAAACGAAACUGGGGAUCAUAUUCCAUGCGAAGUUUAAAAGCUCCCAGUUAUCAUUAUUACAUAUGGUAAAUGUUUGGAGUAUCUUGACCAUCAACUAUUGUUUGCCGUGCGGAUUAACAACUACGUGUUUAGAGUUUGUAAAAGAUUUCAUGAAACAGAACAAGGCUGGGAGCUUUUACUUAUGUGGCUGCCUUGGAAUUGAAAAGUCAUUUUCGAUGGAGAAAGUAAGACUACAAGUUGAGCACUGGCCAAACAGGUAGAAGGCUUGCCUUGGGUAGAAAUAAUGUAUGUUAACUGCACGUCACUGACAUAAAACAUAUAUAUUCUCAAAGGUAAGACGUUAUGCAAUGAAAAUACCCUCCCCAGUUCUUGGUUUCGUUUUAAUAGAGAUGCUUAGUGAAUAGUGAAUUACACCAACUUCAGAUUUUGUUUUCUUUCAAAAGCAACAAUCAUCCAGCUCAAAAAUAAUGUAGGUUCUUUUUUCUUUCUUAAUGACCUGCUAGCUAUACUGAAACCUGUUUCACAUUUAAAUUUCAUUUGCAGUCUGAUAAUUGCACAUGAGUUGAUUACUUGAUCACAAGAGACCGAUGUGGCCUUCAUGAGCUUUUUAUGCUCACAACAUUGUCAUUCUCAAGAUAUAUAUACUAUUAAAUAGUUAAUAGGGAGGAGUCCUAAAAAAUCUACUUAAAAAAAGUUGUUACACCCUUUCAUUUAAAUAAUACAUUUGGUCCUACCUAACUAUAACUAUACAUGAUGAUUUUAUUUAUUAGUCGACAUAGUGGACCAAAGUUUUUGUUUAACUAAAGCCCAGUCGUGAUGUUCAUUUUCUUGGGAUAAUCUAUUGUUUUAGCAAUUUAUUUUAUUGGUCCAUGUCUAAAAUAUAUAAUAAUAUCGUUAUAACAUACCAAAUCUCAAAUAUAAAUUUAUAAAACUUUAAUAAAACUAUCUAAAGAUUUACCUGUGAUAAAAUUACUAAAGAUUAAAACUGUAAAAAACAAGAAAAUAUAAUAAAAAUUAUAUUUAUCUAAUGAAAAUGUAAUAAUAAUUCUUUAGAUAAUUUUUAUUAUAUUUUCUGGGUUUUACAUUUUAAAUUUAUACAUAUAUAAUGUUGAUGUUAAAACACACAUCAAACUCAUAUAUUUACAAACAAAUUUAAAAUGCUAAUUUUAAAAAUUUAAGUUACUAAUUUCUAGAUAAUAUUAUAAAAUUCUGUUUUUUGAUUUUUUUAAAGGUAAAACCCUUCAACUAUGUUUACGUAAUGUAAAAACCCAUAAACUAAAGAUUUAGCGGUAGCAAUGGUAAUUAUGACCUGCUACUGCUAGGGUUUAAUCACUACAAGAAAACAUGCUAAUUCCGACGACCAUAUUCGUCGGAAUUUCAUCGGGAAAACGGCUAUUCCGAAGAAAUUCCGACGAAACUGGUCGUCGGUAUGGAUUCAUCAGAAAACAAAUAUUCGUCGGAAAUCUGUCAAAAUUUCUAACGACUUUCCGACAGAUUACGACGGCCAAAAAUAUCCGACGGAAUACAGACAAAACACUUCGUUGGUAAGACGUUGUCGGUAAUUUGUCGGAAAAUGUUCCGACCAACAAAUAUUGUCGGAAUUGUCGAUGUGAGAGAGAACCGACGAGAACUAUCUGUCGAAAAUUACCGACGACAUUUUCCAUCGGAAAUUUCCGACUCCUUAAUUUCGUCGGUAAAUUCCGACGCUCUGUUUCCGUCGGUCAAUUCCGAAGAACUAUUCGUCGGAAAUGUCGUUGCAGAGUAAUUCAACGGAUUUGGUCGUCGGAAACGUCUGACAAAUAUCCGACGAAAAUGUUCGAUUUUAAUAUUAAAAAUUAUUAUUAUUUUCUAAAUUAUUUUAUUUAUUUUAAAAUAAUUUCAGAUAUUUUCAUUUUAGAUAAUCAAAUCGAUUAAAAAUUGAAACAGCAAACUAAUAUUAUAGAAAUUAAGUUUUACAUAAUUAAAAACAUCAUAUAAAAGUUUCUAAUCUGAAAAUUCUGCAGGAAAUAGUCGCUUCAUCUUCUCCAUAAUGUCUAAGUUCAUCCUCUUAGCCUCCGCCACUUCAGCUUUAUGUUCUGCUAUUUGAGCAUCCUGUUGGGCCAUCUGUGCAAGAAUUGUAGCGUUUUGAGACUCCAACGCUACAAUCCGAUCAUCCUUUUUCUGCAGCUCAUCCAUAAUCAUCGGAUCAACAUACGAAGUUUGUGAAGAAGAAGGACAUGAAGAGGCACGACGAGCCAACCCGACUAAACGACCUUUCUUAUUUGGAACAGCCUAUAAAUUAAAUUAAAUAUAUUAGUUAACUAAAAUAUAAAUGAAAUUUUAUAUUAAUGAAAUGAGAAAUCUAAAAAUUACCUCUUCUACCAUUUCAUUAACUCGAACUCGGGACAAGUUGGUUGAAGCCGAAGAACCGUCAUCGGAGAGGGGUUGAGAAGCUAGAUAUUCUUGUUUCUGGGAUUCUACCAAGUCUAUGACAUCCCUGAUAAGGGGAUUCUGAAUUUCCCCAGUCUUCUUGUUAGUGUACGCACCCCUCAUGACAUCGAGAUAAUCGACGGGAUCACCGUCAUUUGCCGCAACCUAAAGGAAAUUUAAUUAAUAGAUAUAUAUAAAAAGAAAAAAAUAUAUAAAACUUACAAGUUGAUCCUCCUUAGAGGACAUACUGCAAGCACCGAGGUUGUGGACAUAAACACCUAGUCCACCACGGUCGCUCAAGCGGUUCUGGGAGUUCUUGGUUGAUUGCUCUUCAGUCUCCUGCUUCGACCAAUGCACCUCUAAGUCUUGCCAAACCUUCGAGUUGAUAAACUUCGGUUUCUUGCCCGUACACCAUAGCUGUUUCCACUCAUAAAUCUGAUUCCCGUAAAUCUCCAUGGCCUUUCUGUGGAACGCCUUACGGAUGACUUCCGUAUCCCCGGAUGGCCAAUUAAUUUCUUGCUGAAAAACAUAUAAUUAGUUGAAAUAUAAUAGAAAACUAAAAUAAAAAAAUGAAACAAAAUUUAGAGAAAUAUACCGCAAACUGACGAAACCACAACUUGCGUUCAUCUAAUGGGACUUUGCUAUAGGUCUUAUAGCCAGUCUUCAGCAUGGAAUACAUCAUCUGGUUAAUGCUCUUGCUAAUGCCAUUGUGCGACUUGGUGAACCUUCAAAAAAAAAAGAUUAUGUGUUACAAAAUUCAAUGAAAAAUAAAUAAAUAAAUAAAUAAACAAACCAUGUAGUGUGUCCCUCGGGUCGGGGAUGGAGCAUUGGGAGAUGAUGUCGACCGGGUUGUUGAACCAACAGUUCAACACUCAUGACACCCGGCUCAGGUGGAGCAGCUGGAACUAUAUCUCGAGCUGGAGCAAUAGGAAUAGAAUUUUGCUCCUGCGAAGAUGCUGAUGCAUGAGAAUUACUCCCCGAAUGUGAUCGACCUUGUGCUCUAGGACGACGCAGCCUAACCGGAGGGGAA